rnacentral:rRNA from 1 species
CCUACGGGAGGCAGCAGUGAGGAAUAUUGGUCAAUGGCCGUAAGGCUGAACCAGCCAAGUCGCGUGAAGGAAGAAGGAUCUAUGGUUUGUAAACUUCUUUUAUAGGGGAAUAAAGGUAUCCACGUGUGGAUAUUUGCAUGUACCCUAUGAAUAAGCAUCGGCUAACUCCGUGCCAGCAGCCGCGGUAAUACGGAGGAUGCGAGCGUUAUCCGGAUUUAUUGGGGUUAAAGGGUGCGUAGGUUGUUUUUUAAGUCAGCGGUGAAAGUUUGUGGCUCAACCAUAAAAUUGCCGUUGAAACUGGAAGACGUGAGUGUGUUUGAGGUAGGCGGAAUGCGUGGUGUAGCGGUGAAAUGCAUAGAUAUCACGCAGAACUCCGAUUGCGAAGGCAGCUUACUAAGCCAUAACUGACACUGAAGCACGAAAGCGUGGGGAUCAAACAGGAUUAGAUACCCGAGUAGUC